UGUGUUUUGUAAAUGGAGUUUUUUCUUUUGGUUUUGAGUGUCUCAUGUAUCCAGACCAUUGGAUAUUUUUGCCGUCAGGAGUACUUCAGGUUGGAAUGGUUGUCUGGAGGUCAGCUGGUACAAGCCUUCACUGAAAGCAGGAACUUUGAUCAGAUUGACUGGGAUUAGUUCGGUUUUGAGUUUUCCCAAAAGCUGGGUGGCCGCUCUGUCCUAUCCCUUCUAACAUAGGAGUUUUCCCUUGGGAAACAUUUUUUUUCAGAUUUCUUCUUUUUAUUUCCCUUAUUGGUGCCUGUGCAUUCUGUCUUGUGUUCUAUAGCUGUGCAGCCUUCAAGAAGUCUUUUCCUCUUCUUUAUAUCCUAUGGCUGCACACUUGAAAAACAUCUGUCUUGUCUAGCCUUGGCAAUAAAACUCUUCCUUCUGACCUCCUUGAAAUAGCCAACAUUCACCCAGCUCAGCAUAUCCUCGAUGUCCUGCUACAGGUGUGCAGUACUUGUGAAACAGAUUGCUCCAGCUGCCAGGAAACCUACUCCUGUAUAUGCUCCUAAGAACAGGCUUCAGCUCAUGAUAGCAGCCUGUUCCUCUGUGAGAUCUCCAUGAGCUGUGUCUUCCAUCAGGGCAUCUCUCCCUGCUCCAGAGUGGGGCUUUUCCACAGCCUGCAGGUCGUCUUCUUUUGUGAUGGGUAAUUUCCAGAACUCCUGCUUAAAUUGCUACAGGUGAAACCUCUGCAGGAGCCACACAGAUGA